rnacentral:rRNA from 1 species
AUUGAACGCUGGCGGCAGGCUUAACACAUGCAAGUCGAGCGGAGAUGAGGUGCUUGCACCUUAUCUUAUCGGCGGACGGGUGAGUAAUGCUUAGGAAUCUGCCUAUUAGUGGGGGACAACAUUCCGAAAGGAAUGCUAAUACCGCAUACGCCCUACGGGGGAAAGCAGGGGAUCUUCGGACCUUGCGCUAAUAGAUGAGCCUAAGUCGGAUUAGCUAGUUGGUGGGGUAAAGGCCUAUCAAGGCGACGAUCUGUAGCGGGUCUGAGAGGAUGAUCCGCCACACUGGGACUGAGACACGGCCCAGACUCCUACGGGAGGCAGCAGUGGGGAAUAUUGGACAAUGGGCGGAAGCCUGAUCCAGCCAUGCCGCGUGUGUGAAGAAGGCCUUUUGGUUGAAAAGCACUUUAAGCGAGGAGGAGGCUACCUGGAUUAAUACUCUAGGAUAGUGGACGUUACUCGCAGAAUAAGCACCGGCUAACUCUGUGCCAGCAGCCGCGGUAAGAC